rnacentral:rRNA from 1 species
CCUACGGGUGGCAGCAGUGAGGAAUAUUGGGCAAUGGGCGAGAGCCUGAACCAGCCAAGUCGCGUGAAGGAUGACGGCCCUACGGGUUGUAAACUUCUUUUGUCAGGGAGCAAUUGAGUCCACGUGUGGUCUUAGCGAGAGGACCUGAAGAAAAAGCAUCGGCUAACUCCGUGCCAGCAGCCGCGGUAAUACGGAGGAUGCGAGCGUAAUCCGGAUUGAUUGGGGUAAAGGGGUGCGUAGGCGGAAUAUCAAGUCAGCGGUAAAAAUUCGGGGCUCAACCCCGUCGUGCCGUUGAAACUGAUGUUCUUGAGUGGGCGAGAGGUAUGCGGAAUGCGUGGUGUAGCGGUGAAAUGCAUAGAUAUCACGCAGAACUCCGAUUGCGAAGGCAGCAUACCGGCGCCCAACUGACGCUGAAGCACGAAAGCGUGGGUAUCGAACAGGAUUAGAUACCCCUGUAGUC